rnacentral:rRNA from 1 species
UACGUAGGGGGCGAGCGUUGUCCGGAGUUACUGGGCGUAAAGGGUGCGCAGGCGGUUCUCCAAGUCCGUUGUGAAAGCCCCGGGCUCAACCUGGGAAUGGCAGUGGAAACUAGGGGACUGGAAUCUGGCAGAGGGGGGUGGAAUGCCGCGUGUAGCAGUGAAAUGCGUAGAGAUGCGGCGGAACACCGAUGGCGAAGGCAGCCCCCUGGGCUGAGAUUGACGCUCAGGCACGAAAGCGUGGGGAGCAAACAGG